rnacentral:rRNA from 1 species
AGCAUAUCAAUAAGCGGAGGAAAAGAAACCAACAGGGAUUGCCCCAGUAACGGCGAAGUGAAGCGGCAACAGCUCAAAUUUGAAAUCUGGCCCCCAGGGCCCGAGUUGUAAUUUGUAGAGGAUGCUUUUGGCGAGGCGCCUUCCGAGUUCCCUGGAACGGGACGCCAUAGAGGGUGAGAGCCCCGUCUGGUCGGACGCCUAGCCUCUGUAAAGCUCCUUCGACGAGUCGAGUAGUUUGGGAAUGCUGCUCUAAAUGGGAGGUAUAUGUCUUCUAAAGCUAAAUACCGGCCAGAGACCGAUAGCGCACAAGUAGAGUGAUCGAAAGAUGAAAAGCACUUUGAAAAGAGGGUUAAACAGUACGUGAAAUUGUUGAAAGGGAAGCGCUUGUGACCAGACUUGGGCCCGGUUGAUCAUCCAGCGUUCUCGCUGGUGCACUCUGCCGGCCCAGGCCAGCAUCAGUUCGCGCCGGGGGACAAAGGCUUCGGGAACGUGGCUCCCUCGGGAGUGUUAUAGCCCGCUGCGUAAUACCCUGGUGCGGACUGAGGCCCGCGCUCCGCAAGGAUGCUGGCGUAAUGGUCAUCAGCGACCCGUCUUGAAAACACGGACCAAGGAGUCGUCUUCGUAUGCGAGUGUUCGGGUGUCAAAACCCCUACGCGUAAUGAAAGUGAACGCAGGUGAGAGCUUCGGCGCAUCAUCGACCGAUCCUGAUGUUCUCGGAUGGAUUUGAGUAAGAGCAUACGGGGCCGGACCCGAAAGAAGGUGAACUAUGCCUGUAUAGGGUGAAGCCAGAGGAAACUCUGGUGGAGGCUCGCAGCGGUUCUGACGUGCAAAUCGAUCGUCAAAUAUGGGCAUGGGGGCGAAAGACUAAUCGAACCUUCUAGUAGCUGGGUUCCGCCGA